CUACGGGACGCUGCAGUAGGGAAUAUUGCACAAUGGGCGAAAGCCUGAUGCAGCAACGCCGCGUGUGCGAUGAAGGCCUUCGGGUCGUAAAGCACUUUUCGGGAGGAUGAGAAAGGACAGUACUCCCGGAAUAAGUCUCGGCUAACUACGUGCCAGCAGCCGCGGUAACACGUAGGAGGCAAGCGUUAUCCGGAUUUACUGGGCGUAAAGCGCGUGCAGGUGGGUUGGUAAGUUGGAUGUGAAAUCUCCCGGCUCAACUGGGUGAGGUCGUUCAAAACUGCUGGACUAGAGGACGGUAGAGGAAAGUGGAAUUCCCGGUGUAGUGGUGAAAUGCGAAGAUAUCGGGAGGAACACCAGUGGCGAAAGCGACUUUCUGGCCCGUUCCUGAUACUAAGACGCGAAAGCUAGGGUAGCAAACGGGAUUAGAUACCCCGGUAGUC
rnacentral:rRNA from 1 species